UGGAUCCAGACUUUGAUUAUGGCUCAGGAUGAACUCUAGCUACAGGCUUAACACAUGCAAGUCGAGGGGAAACGAUAUUGGAAGCUUGCUUCCGAUAGGCGUCGACCGGCGCACGGGUGAGUAACGCGUAUCCAACCUGCCCAUCACUUGGGGAUAACCUUGCGAAAGUAAGACUAAUACCCAAUGACGUCUCUAGAAGACAUCUGAAAGAGAUUAAAGAUUUAUCGGUGAUGGAUGGGGAUGCGUCUGAUUAGCUUGUUGGCGGGGUAACGGCCCACCAAGGCAACGAUCAGUAGGGGUUCUGAAAGGAAGGUCCCCCACAUUGGAACUGAGACACGGUCCAAACUCCUACGGGAGGCAGCAGUGAGGAAUAUUGGUCAAUGGACGAGAGUCUGAACCAGCCAAGUAGCGUGCAGGAUGACGGCCCUAUGGGUUGUAAACUGCUUUUAUAAGGGAAUAAAGUGGGAGUCGUGACACUUUUUGCAUGUACCUUAUGAAUAAGGACCGGCUAAUUCCGUGCCAGCAGCCGCGGUAAUACGGAAGGUCCGGGCGUUAUCCGGAUUUAUUGGGUUUAAAGGGAGCGUAGGCCGGAGAUUAAGCGUGUUGUGAAAUGUAGACGCUCAACGUCUGCACUGCAGCGCGAACUGGUUUCCUUGAGUACGCACAAAGUGGGCGGAAUUCGUGGUGUAGCGGUGAAAUGCUUAGAUAUCACGAAGAACUCCGAUUGCGAAGGCAGCUCACUGGAGCGCAACUGACGCUGAAGCUCGAAAGUGCGGGUAUCGAACAGGAUUAGAUACCCUGGUAGUCCGCACGGUAAACGAUGGAUGCCCGCUGUUGGUCUGAAUAGGUCAGCGGCCAAGCGAAAGCAUUAAGCAUCCCACCUGGGGAGUACGCCGGCAACGGUGCAACUCAAAUGAAUUGACGGA
rnacentral:rRNA from 1 species